rnacentral:rRNA from 1 species
CCCCUAGAUGUUCUGGGCCGCACGCGCGCUACACUGAACAGUUCAACAAGUCUUAACCUUGGCCGAUAGGUCUGGGUAAUCUUUGAACGCUGUUCGUGAUUGGGAUAGACCUUUGCAAUUAUGGGUCUUCAACGAGGAAUUCCUAGUAAACGCAAGUCAUCAGCUUGCAUUGAUUACGUCCCUGCCCUUUGUACACACCGCCCGUCGCACCUACCGAUCGAAUGGUCCGGUGAAAUCUCGGGACGGCGGCUUGGUCGCUUGCGUCCGACUGCUGAAACUUGAUUAAACCAUNUNAUUUAGNGGAAGGUGAANUCGUANCA